GACGAACGCUGGCGGCGUGCUUAACACAUGCAAGUCGAACGGUAAGGCCCUUCGGGGUACACGAGUGGCGAACGGGUGAGUAACACGUGGGUGAUCUGCCCUGCACUUCGGGAUAAGCCUGGGAAACUGGGUCUAAUACCGGAUAGGACCACUGCCUGCAUGGGUGGUGGUGGAAAGGUUUUGCGGUGUGGGAUGGGCCCGCGGCCUAUAAGCUUGUUGGUGGGGUGAUGGCCUACCAAGGCGACGACGGGUAGCCGGCCUGAGAGGGUGACCGGCCACACUGGGACUGAGAUACGGCCCAGACUCCUACGGGAGGCAGCAGUGGGGAAUAUUGCACAAUGGGCGCAAGCCUGAUGCAGCGACGCCGCGUGAGGGAUGACGGCCUUCGGGUUGUAAGCCUCUUUCAGCACCGACGAAGCGCAAGUGACGGUAGGUGCAGAAGAAGGACCGGCCAACUACGUGCCAGCCGCCGCGGUAACAC
rnacentral:rRNA from 1 species